AUUGAACGCUGGCGGAAUGCUUUACACAUGCAAGUCGAACGGCAGCACGGACUUCGGUCUGGUGGCGAGUGGCGAACGGGUGAGUAAUGUAUCGGAACGUGCCCAGUCGUGGGGGAUAACGUAGUGAAAAUUACGCUAAUACCGCAUACGAUCUAUGGAUGAAAGCGGGGGAUCGCAAGACCUCGCGCGAUUGGAGCGGCCGAUAUCAGAUUAGGUAGUUGGUGGGGUAAAGGCCCACCAAGCCAACGAUCUGUAGCUGGUCUGAGAGGACGACCAGCCACAAUGGAACUGGGGCACGGGCCAGACUCCUACGGGAGGCAGCAGUGGGGAAUUUUGGACAAUGGGCGAAAGCCUGAUCCAGCCAUUACGCGUGCAGGAUGAAGGCCCUCGGGUUGUAAACUGCUUUUGUACAGAACGAAAAGGUUUCUACUAAUACUAGGAGCUCAUGACGGUACUGUAAGAAUAAGCACCGGCUAACUACGUGCCAGCCGCCGCCGUAA
rnacentral:rRNA from 1 species